UACGGGGGGGGCAAGCGUUGUUCGGAAUUACUGGGCGUAAAGGGCUCGUAGGUGGCCAACUAAGUCAGACGUGAAAUCCCUCGGCUUAACCGGGGAACUGCGUCUGAUACUGGAUGGCUUGAGUUCGGGAGAGGGAUGCGGAAUUCCAGGUGUAGCGGUGAAAUGCGUAGAUAUCUGGAGGAACACCGGUGGCGAAGGCGGCAUCCUGGACCGACACUGACGCUGAGGCGCGAAAGCUAGGGGAGCGAACGGG
rnacentral:rRNA from 1 species